UGAGGAAUAUUGGACAAUGGGUGGAAGCCUGAUCCAGCCAUCCCGCGUGAAGGAUGACGGUCCUAUGGAUUGUAAACUUCUUUUGUACAGGGAUAAACCUGCCCUCGUGAGGGCAGCUGAAGGUACUGUACGAAUAAGCACCGGCUAACUCCGUGCCAGCAGCCGCGGUAAUACGGAGGGUGCGAGCGUUAUCCGGAUUUAUUGGGUUUAAAGGGUCCGUAGGCGGGCCUGUAAGUCAGUGGUGAAAUCUCAUAGCUUAACUAUGAAACUGCCAUUGAUACUGCAGGCCUUGAGUAAAUUUGAAGUGGCUGGAAUAAGUAGUGUAGCGGUGAAAUGCAUAGAUAUUACUUAGAACACCGAUUGCGAAGGCAGGUCACUAGGAUUUAACUGACGCUGAUGGACGAAAGCGUGGGGAGCGAACA
rnacentral:rRNA from 1 species